rnacentral:rRNA from 1 species
AGUGAACGCUGGCGGCAGGCCUAAUACAUGCAAGUCGAACGGCAGCACAGCAGAGCUUGCUCUGUGGGUGGCGAGUGGCGGACGGGUGAGGAAUACAUGGGAAUCUGCCCAGUCGUGGGGGAUAACGUAGGGAAACUUACGCUAAUACCGCAUGCGCCCUUCGGGGGAAAGCCGGGGACCUUCGGGCCUGGCGCGAUUGGAUGAGCCCAUGUCGGAUUAGCUAGUUGGCGGGGUAAUGGCCCACCAAGGCGACGAUCCGUAGCUGGUCUGAGAGGAUGAUCAGCCACACUGGAACUGAGACACGGUCCAGACUCCUACGGGAGGCAGCAGUAGGGAAUAUUGGACAAUGGGCGCAAGCCUGAUCCAGCCAUGCCGCGUGAGUGAAGAGGGCCCUCGGGUUGUAAACUUCUGAACUAGCCGAAUAAAAGGCCUGUGGACACACAGGAGAAGAAAGUAGGACUAAGGAAAGUCCCGGACUAACUACGU